AACGCUAGCUACAGGCUUAACACAUGCAAGUCGAGGGGCAGCAUGAAUUUACUUCGGUAGAUUUGAUGGCGACCGGCGCACGGGUGCGUAACGCGUAUCCAACCUUCCCGUUACUCCGGGAUAGCCUUCCGAAAGGGAGAUUAAUACCGGAUGGUGUUUGAAGUCCGCAUGAAAUUCAAACUAAAGAUUUAUCGGUAACGGAUGGGGAUGCGUACCAUUAGAUAGUAGGCGGGGUAACGGCCCACCUAGUCUACGAUGGUUAGGGGUUCUGAGAGGAAGGUCCCCCACACUGGAACUGAGACACGGUCCAGACUCCUACGGGAGGCAGCAGUGAGGAAUAUUGGUCAAUGGCCGUAAGGCUGAACCAGCCAAGUAGCGUGAAGGAUGAAGGUUCUAUGGAUUGUAAACUUCUUUUAUACGGGAAUAACACCAUCUACGUGUAGAUGUCUGCAUGUACCGUAUGAAUAAGCAUCGGCUAACUCCGUGCCAGCAGCCGCGGUAAUACGGAGGAUGCGAGCGUUAUCCGGAUUUAUUGGGUUUAAAGGGAGCGUAGACGGGAUGUUAAGUCAGUUGUGAAAUGCUGUGGCUCAACCAUAGCACUGCAGUUGAUACUGGCGUUCUUGAGUGCGGUUGAGGUGUGUGGAAUUCGUGGUGUAGCGGUGAAAUGCUUAGAUAUCACGAAGAACUCCGAUUG
rnacentral:rRNA from 1 species